rnacentral:rRNA from 1 species
AUUGAACGCUGGCGGCAGGCCUAACACAUGCAAGUCGAGCGAGCGGCGGACGGGUGAGUAAUAUCUGGGAAACUGCCUGCUGGAGGGGGAUAACUACUGGAAACGGUAGCUACUACCGCCUACCCUCAGAUGUUCCCCGAUGGGAUGAGCUAGUAGGGGGGGUAACGGCUCACCUAGGCGACGUUCCCUACCUGGUCUGCGAGGAUGACCAGCCACACGGGAACGGAGAAACGGUCCAGAUCCCUACGGGAGGAAGCAGUGGGGAAUAUUGGACAAUGGGCGCAAGCCGGAUGCAGCCAUGCGGCGUGGGUGAAGAAGGCCUUCGGGUUGUAAAGCACUUUCAGCGGGGAGGCGUUACCCGCAGAAGAAGCACCGGCUAACUCCGUGCCAGCAGCCGCGGUAAUUC